CAACCCUACGGGACGCAGCAGUGAGGAAUAUUGGUCAAUGGGCGGAAGCCUGAACCAGCCAAGUCGCGUGAGGGAAUAAGGCCCUACGGGUCGUAAACCUCUUUUGCCGGGGAGCAAGGGCGGGGACGUGUCCCGGCCCGGAGAGUACCCGGAGAAAAAGCAUCGGCUAACUCCGUGCCAGCAGCCGCGGUAAUACGUAGGUGGCAAGCGUUAUCCGGAUUUACUGGGUGUAAAGGGCGUGUAGGCGGGAAAGCAAGUCAGAUGUGAAAACCAUGGGCUCAACCUGUGGCCUGCAUUUGAAACUG
rnacentral:rRNA from 1 species